rnacentral:rRNA from 1 species
CCUACGGGGGGCAGCAGUGAGGAAUAUUGGUCAAUGGGCGCGAGCCUGAACCAGCCAAGCCGCGUGAAGGAUGACUGCCCUGCGGGUUGUAAACUUCUUUUAUAAAGGAAUAAAGUGAGGCACGUGUGCCUUUUUGUAUGUACUUUAUGAAUAAGGAUCGGCUAACUCCGUGCCAGCAGCCGCGGUAAUACGGAGGAUCCGAGCGUUAUCCGGAUUUAUUGGGUUUAAAGGAAGCGGAGAGGGGUUGUUAAGUCAGUUGUGAAAGUUUGCGGCUCAACCGUAAAAUUGCAGUUGAUACUGGCAGUCUUGAGUACAGGUGAGGUAGGCGGAAUUCGUGGUGUAGCGGUGAAAUGCUUAGAUAUCACGAAGAACUCCGAUUGCGAAGGCAGCUUACUAGACCGCCACUGACGUUGAGGCACGAAAGUGUGGGUAUCAAACAGGAUUAGAUACCCCGGUAGUC